rnacentral:tRNA from 2 species
GGAGAGAUGUCCGAGCUGGCCGAAGGAGCAUGAUUGGAAAUCAUGUGUACGGCUACCGCCGUACCUGGGGUUCGAAUCCCCAUCUCUCCGCCA